rnacentral:rRNA from 1 species
UACGUAGGGUGCGAGCGUUAAUCGGAAUUACUGGGCGUAAAGAGCGCGCAGGCGGUCGUUCAAGUUGCGUGUGAAAGCCCCCGGCUCAACUGGGGAGGGUCACGCGAUACUGAUCGACUCGAAGGCAGGAGAGGGUAGUGGAAUUCCCGGUGUAGUGGUGAAAUGCGUAGAUAUCGGGAGGAACACCAGUGGCGAAGGCGACUACCUGGCCUGUUUCUUGACGCUGAGGCGCGAAAGCUAGGGGAGCAAACGGG